UGUGUGUUUGAGAGGAGUUGCGAUGACAAACUGUUGCAGUAGUACAUUAAAGUAAAUAAGUUCAAAGGGGCGUAACUCCUAGAAAAAAAAUUGAAUCACAAUUUCCCGUCGAUAUGCACAACUACAUAGUAUGUCCUUAUUAUCUGAAAAGGUUUCGUGAAAUUCUGUUGUGUGGUUUGAGAGGAGUUGCGAUGACAAACUGUUGCAGUAGUACAUUAAAGUAAAUAAGUUCAAAGGGGCGUAACUCCUAGAAAAAAAAUUGAAUCGCAAUUUCCCGUCGAUAUGCACAACUACAUAGUAUGUCCUUAUUAUCUGAAAAGUUUUCGUGAAAUUCUGUUGUGUGGUUUGAGAGGAGUUGCGAUGACAAACUGUUGCAGUAGUACAUUAAAGUAAAUAAGUUCAAAGGGCGUAACUCCUAGAAAAAAAAUUGAAUCGCAAUUUCCCGUCGAUAUGCACAACUACAUAGUAUGUCCUUAUUAUCUGAAAAGGUUUCGUGAAAUUCUGUUGUGUGGUUUGAGAGGAGUUGCGAUGACAAGAAACAGGACUGACGGACUGACGGACGGACGGAC
rnacentral:lncRNA from 1 species